UCAAAUCUACUGAAAAUAUGAUUUUUCAACUAAACUAAACAGGAACUUAAAAUCAAGAGGAACUUUACACUAAGGAAUUAUUACAAGUGCUCAGUUGAAGGAUGUCCAGUAAAAAAGAGAGUCGAGAGAGACAACAAUGAUCCAAGGUAUGUAGUAACAACCUACGAGGGCAUCCACAACCACCAAAGUACUUCUCAACUCUAAUGUCAAUCAAAAGGUCAGAAUUACCAUUAGAAUUAGAUAGGGAAGUCUUUUCCAGAUUUCCAAACCUUUGUAGAAUUGUUAUAAUUAGGUUGUUAUAAUUGUCCACUCGCACCCAUCCCCGAAUAACCUUUGAAUUUCUAGAUGUAAAUCUCGAAUUUCAUAUAUAUAAAUCCGGUAUUGGAUUCAUAA